rnacentral:rRNA from 1 species
GUGGGUAGUUUGACUGGGGCGGUCUCCUCCUAAAGAGUAACGGAGGAGCACGAAGGUUGGCUAAUCCUGGUCGGACAUCAGGAGGUUAGUGCAAUGGCAUAAGCCAGCUUGACUGCGAGCGUGACGGCGCGAGCAGGUGCGAAAGCAGGUCAUAGUGAUCCGGUGGUUCUGAAUGGAAGGGCCAUCGCUCAACGGAUAAAAGGUACUCCGGGGAUAACAGGCUGAUACCGCCCAAGAGUUCAUAUCGACGGCGGUGUUUGGCACCUCGAUGUCGGCUCAUCACAUCCUGGGGCUGAAGUAGGUCCCAAGGGUAUGGCUGUUCGCCAUUUAAAGUGGUACGCGAGCUGGGUUUAGAACGUCGUGAGACAGUUCGGUCCCUAUCUGCCGUGGGCGCUGGAGAACUGAGGGGGGCUGCUCCUAGUACGAGAGGACCGGAGUGGACGCAUCACUGGUGUUCGGGUUGUCAUGCCAAUGGCACUGCCCGGUAGCUAAAUGCGGAAGAGAUAAGUGCUGAAAGCAUCUAAGCACGAAACUUGCCCCGAGAUGAGUUCUCCCUGACUCCUUGAGAGUCCUGAAGGAACGUUGAAGACGACGACGUUGAUAGGCCGGGUGUGUAAGCGCAGCGAUGCGUUGAGCUAACCGGUACUAAUGAACCGUGAGGCUUAACCUUACAACGCCG